rnacentral:rRNA from 1 species
UACGUAGGUGGCAAGCGUUGUCCGGAUUUAUUGGGUUUAAAGGGUGCGUAGGCGGCCCUGUAAGUCAGUGCUGAAAUAUCCCGGCUUAACCGGGAGGGUGGCAUUGAUACUGCAGGGCUUGAGUAAAGUUGAGGUAGGCGGAAUUGACGGUGUAGCGGUGAAAUGCUUAGAUAUCGUCAAGAACACCGAUAGUGUAGACAGCUUACUAGCUUAACUUGACGCUGAGGCACGAAAGUGUGGGGAUCAAACAGG